GGCAGUCGCACCACAGUGUAUCGGCUGACAAGACGUAACGUGUUUUCGCGCGCGAAUCAUGGUGCGAAAAUAUAAAAAAAGGGCACGCGUACUAAAAGGGUACACGUACGUUGGGAAGAAACCGGGAUCAUCAUGGUCAUUCUUUUUCCCUGUUAUAGAAGACAUACACACUCUGUAUAUCAGUGAAGUCGCCAUGAUCCUCCCUGAUCCAAAACUGGGCUGGAACAGGGUUGUACAGCUAGAAUGGCUAGACUUUUUACUUUUGCAGUUAAUUUAAAUAAUUAUAAUGUGCAAUUACUUCAAAAGUAACAAUCAAAAUGUAUGAUUACCUAUUUUAAGUUUUAAUUGUCAAAGACUGUACAACAAUCUCAUAGAAAGUGAUUGUAAAGAUCUCAUUUAGACUGAUUGUAUCAAUAAGUAAACUAAGGAUGAAUGAUGUAAUGUUUUGUUAUUUUUCUAAAGAAAGAUUUAUCGACUAUGAGUCAAGUCAAAUAUUAUUAAGUUAGUUCUUUGAGAAAUACAUAUUUUUAUAAUAAUUAAUAAAAAUUUAACGACUUUAA
rnacentral:lncRNA from 1 species